rnacentral:rRNA from 1 species
CCUACGGGAGGCAGCAGUGAGGAAUAUUGGUCAAUGGGCGCUAGCCUGAACCAGCCAAGUAGCGUGAAGGAUGACUGCCCUAUGGGUUGUAAACUUCUUUUAUAUGGGAAUAAAGUGAAGUAUGUAUACUUCUUUGCAUGUACCUUAUGAAUAAGGAUCGGCUACUCCGGUCCAGCAGCCCCGGUAAUACGGGGGGUCCGAGCGUUAUCCGGAUUUUUUGGGUUUAAAGGGAGCGUAGGCGGGUUGUUAAGUCAGUUGUGAAAGUUUGCGGCUCAACCGUAAAAUUGCAGUUGAUACUGGCAGCCUUGAGUACAGUAGAGGUAGGCGGAAUUCGUGGUGUAGCGGUGAAAUGCUUAGAUAUCACGAAGAACUCCGAUUGCGAAGGCAGCCUACUGGACUGUAACUGACGUUGAUGCUCGAAAGUGUGGGUAUCAAACAGGAUUAGAUACCCCUGUAGUC